AGCAGCCGCGGUAAUUCCAGCUCCAAUAGCGUAUAUUAAAGUUGUUGCAGUUAAAAAGCUCGUAGUUGAAUUUCGGGAUCAAUAUGUUGGUCGUGCCUUGGUACGUACUGGCAUUAUCGAUUCCUACCUUCUGAAGAACCUCGAUGUCAUUAAUUUGGUGUCUUGGGGAAUCAGGACUGUUACUUUGAAAAAAUUAGAGUGUUUAAAGCAGGCUCGCGCUUGAAUACAUUAGCAUGGAAUAAUGAAAUAGGACGUUUGAUUCUAUUUUGUUGGUUUCUAGGAUCGACGUAAUGAUUAAUAGGGAUAGUUGGGGGCAUUAGUAUUCAAUUGUCAGAGGUGAAAUUCUUGGAUUUAUUGAAGACUAACUACUGCGAAAGCAUUUGCCAAGGAUGUUUUCAUUAAUCAAGAACGAAAGUUAGGGGAUCGAAGACGAUCAGAUACCGUCGUAGUCUUAACCAUAAGCUAUGCCGACUAGGGAUCGGAUGAUGUUAAUUUUUAAUGA
rnacentral:misc_RNA from 1 species